rnacentral:lncRNA from 1 species
CUUUAAGCAUUUUUCUUCCUUAGACUAGAAAAGCCCCCGAAUUCUUCUCACUGAGGAUUUCUUGAAUAAAACAGCAGGUUAUUGCCAGCCAUCUUCAGUCUUGCACUAGACUUUUCAGGGACAGAGAUGCUCUAUAAGGAAACAUAUGAAUAACUAGCUCUAAUCCAUAUUGCCUUAGAACCUAAAUCCUUUGUAAAUAAUGAAGAAGUGUGAGCAGUAGCUGAUGGUGAGAAAGAAAGGGUUGGCAUGAGAGGAGACAAUGGGAGAAAUCUUGAAAAAUUUAACUAGAACGAAUAAUGGCAGUUUGUUUUUUCUAACAUAACUUCUCUCUGCAGACAUGUACUGGAAUUUGGAGAGCAUGGUAUAAGGAUGGGUACUUCAAUAUUAACAGCACAAAGCCUGGAGAAGCAAUCCAACAGGACUCUCUCUGCUUAUCUGCUCAAAGUCAAACAGCAUUGCUUAAAAGACCCUGACAAUGUGAAGAACAAACUCUACCUGAAUGGGCUGCAGUGGUCACCAGGUCCAUGCUGUGGCUAGCAAUUAAAAAUUAACCAUGGCAUUUUCAAGAAAAGAAUGGAAUCAUUCAUGUGCAGCUUCUCUCUGCUUGAUAAUCCCUCUGAAGAGCAUUUGAUUUUUCAAGUCAAGACAGUUAUAUACAAUAAACCUCUUUUGUGUCUAAUGUGCAAAGCUAGGUCAUUAACACACCUGCCAGAAAAGGAGGCCCACAAGGAGGAAGAAAAAAAAUACCCUUACUCUUGCAGCUUGGAGUAAGCACCCUGGAGAAGCUGUGCAGGCAUGAACCACAGCAGCUGCUGCAAUGAAACCUGCUUGUCCAACACAAAGACAGAUCUCUGUGCCGUCACAGAUGCAUGAAUUGACACAGCAAGGAAAUGAGGCAGUAAGUUUCCAACAGCUGAUAACCACACUCAGCCCAGGGCUUUGACUAAAUAAUCUCCACUUCACUUGACUUCUUACAUCUUUCCAUUUGCUUUUCUAUAAAAUUGGUCAUCAUGCUGGGAAGUGGUAUGUGUUCUGAUGUCCAUCUGAGUACUGGGUUGCUAGAUAUAGAGAAAGACUUGAUAAUAAUAGACCACUUUACAAUUAUGUAGUAUUUUCAUUAUUAUAGUAUUUGAAGGUUUUGGGAUGAGAAAUAAGCUUUUUUAAAAAAAGGAUGGUGAACAAGGAAAGGUGUGGGUUGCAGGAGGAAAAUAAGGGAGAAAAAGCAUAUUUGUCAAAGGGAAUAAAGGACUAACGCAGCAAACUGACUGUUAAAAU